UAGGAUUACUUUCCUUCUUAGUUAGGAUCACAAUUGUAUAAAUAUGUUAUAAUCCUUCUUUGAGAUAUGAGAAAAUAUUUUCACAACAUGGUAUCAGAACUAUUGUGAAGGAAAUUCCUGUUUUUUUUUUUUUUUCUCUUUUCUAUUUUUCUCUAUGUUUUUGGCUACUGGAAAAUUGGGUCACCACCAAGGGUGACCAUCUUGUCUCAUCUCCCACCCCAAACGCCAGUUGGGCUGCCGACGACUAGCUCCCCGAAGGUCCCAUCACCAGUGGAGCCGCGUGUGAGCUGCACGCGCAGAGAGAAGGAUUAACGCAGUUUCACGCACCGGUGCAUCAAAGCACGUGCACCGUCCAGUUGCCGUCCUUUUCUUUUUUGAGCACUUCCAACGGCCUCUUCUUAGAUAGGGAUAAGUUACUCAGUGUGUAGCUUUUUUAUUCUUGUGCCUUUUGUGAUUUGGAGGUUUAAAACGGUAUUGUUUCUACUAUUUUUUGACAACCCCUGCGUGUUUAUGAAUCAUCUCGUAUUUGUUUUGACAUUGCUUUCUAUGAUUCGGUUUGCAUCUUGGUAGUUUUGAAGACAUUUUGGGUAAUUUGCUCCUUGAUAAAUUGGUUGUGUUAAGUUUCUUAGAAUGGCAGAUACUAAGAAUGUAGUUGCUGAUGUGAUUCCUGUGAUGACCAAAAUCUCGGAGCACAAACUUACUGGUUUCAAUUAUUUAGAGUGGAACAAGACUGUUCGUAUUUAUUUGCGAAGUAUUGAUAAGGAUGAUCACUUUACCAAAGAUCCUCCUAAUGAUG
rnacentral:misc_RNA from 1 species